rnacentral:rRNA from 1 species
CCUACGGGUGGCAGCAGGGGGGAAUAUUGGGCAAUGGACGCAAGUCUGACCCAGCAACGCCGCGUGAAGGAAGAAGGCUUUCGGGGUGGAAACUUCUUUUAAGGGGGAAGAGCAGAAGACGGUACCCCUCGAAUAAGCCACGGCUAACUACGGGCCAGCAGCCGCGGUAAUACGGCGGUGGCAAGCGUUGUCCGGAUUUACUGGGUGUAAAGGGCGUGUAGUCGGGGAGGCAAGUCAGAUGUGAAAUCCGCGGGCUCAACUCGCGAACUGCCUUUGAAACUGCUUCCCUUGAGUAUCGGAGAGGUAAUCGGAAUUCCUGGUGUAGCGGUGAAAUGCGUAGAUAUUAGGAAGAACACCAGUGGCGAAGGCGGAUUACUGGACGACAACUGACGGUGAGGCGCGAAAGCGUGGGGAGCAAACAGGAUUAGAUACCCCAGUAGUC